rnacentral:lncRNA from 1 species
AACAACCCACUAACACCCAUGAACCAGUGGUGGAGUGAGAUACUCGGCUGCUUAUAAAAGCCCUACAAAGUCAAACCAAGGUAAGACACUUUUAACCAAAGGGAAACUCUAUCUCUUUGAUGCUAGAACUUUUCUUCUGUAAUUGUUUCUUUCUUGUGGGAAUUAAAAUCUUUGCUUCCAAUAGUCAUAAUUAAGCCACGGAGAUUUGUGGCACAAAUAAUUCUUCCAGAAACUUGAUAAUUGACUUGAGCGUCAUAGGGUUUUCGCCGAAAGAACAUCCGGCACCCUCUGACUUUUUCUUGUGGUUGCAGGGGAGGUCAAAGUGAAGUGUUCCUGGACGUCAGUAUCUACUCAAACCAAGCAAGUGGAAGCAGUACCGUCUGCCAUUAAAACAAAUUUAAGUGUUGAUGUAGUUACCUGGUUGAAGUAACAACCAGACCAGAUUUCUGCAUCAACUGUAUAUAAAUUAACAGCCUGUGUUUGAUUUAAU